GAAGGAUCAUUAAAGAUUGGCCGAGAGGCCUCAUCUCUAUAUCCCUCAACCUCUGUGAACCGUGGACCCUCGGGUCUAUUUUACAAACAUCAGUGUAAUGAACGUAAUUAUCAUAACAAAAACAAAACUUUCAACAACGGAUCUCUUGGCUCUCGCAUCGAUGAAGAACGCAGCGAAAUGCGAUAAGUAAUGUGAAUUGCAGAAUUCAGUGAAUCAUCGAAUCUUUGAACGCACCUUGCGCCUCUUGGUAUUCCGAGAGGCAUGCCUGUUUGAGUGUCAUGAAAUCUCAAUCCCCUCGGGUUUUAGGACCCGGGUCGGACUUGGACAUGGGCGUCUGCCGGUUAAACGGCUCGCCUCAAAUGACUUAGUGGAUCUCUCAGCAUCCGUGACAGACGUAAUAAGUUUUGUCUUGUCCCUUGCAGAUGAGUCCGCUCACAACCUGCCAUCGCGCACUUUUAGACUCUGACCUCAAAUCAGGUAGGACUACCCGCUGAACUUAA
rnacentral:misc_RNA from 1 species